rnacentral:rRNA from 1 species
GACGAACGCUGGCGGCGUGCCUAAUACAUGCAAGUAGAACGCUGAAGAGAGGAGCUUACUCUUCUUGGAUGAGUUGCGAACGGGUGAGUAACGCGUAGGUAACCUGCCUUGUAGCGGGGGAUAACUAUUGGAAACGAUAGCUAAUACCGCAUAACAAUGGAUGACACAUGUCAUUUAUUUGAAAGGGGCAAUUGCUCCACUACAAGAUGGACCUGCGUUGUAUUAGCUAGUAGGUGAGGUAAUGGCUCACCUAGGCGACGAUACAUAGCCGACCUGAGAGGGUGAUCGGCCACACUGGGACUGAGACACGGCCCAGACUCCUACGGGAGGCAGCAGUAGGGAAUCUUCGGCAAUGGGGGCAACCCUGACCGAGCAACGCCGCGUGAGUAAAGAAGGUUUUCGGAUCGUAAAGCUCUGUUGUAAGUCAAGAACGGGUGUGAGAGUGGAAAGUUCACACUGUGACGGUAGCUUACCAGAAAGGGACGGCUAACUACGUG